UCUGUGGGAAGCUGGGAACCAAGCUGGUGAGCUCGGCUGCCAAGUAGGCCUUGCUGGCCCUGCUUUCCCCUGGGGCUGGGCAACCCCAGGCUCCUUCGUGACUCCUCAGAAUCUCGGACACCCCCUGAAUUCCACCCUGGUGGGCCAUUUGUGGUCUGUGCCCCAUCCAGGGCCUGAAAGAGGUGCACCAACCUCCUACAUGGAUUCCACAGAUCCUGAUUCAGACAGCGAGCACCCCGGACUAUAACGAUACCUGGGGGAAAUAGACAGAGUCUGCGCACCACCGAAUUCCAGCUGGUGGACUUCAGACCCGGGUUUGAAGCCUGGCUCUGCCACAUCCUGAUCAUGUGGACUUAGAUCACCUGAGUGAGUAAUCACAGAUGGCUGCUUGGAGGUGGCAAGAGAUGGACGGGGGGUUUCCAGUCUGUCAUCCCGGGUUCCAGCUUGUCCUGGUGGCUCCAGUUUGUCGUCACUCCCUCCCACUUCCCAUCCAUCCUUCCUUCUUGGUGGCUGCCCUGCUGACUUGAGGAUCCAGCGUCAAAUUCAAAGAAGC
rnacentral:lncRNA from 1 species